AUCCGGCAUAUAUAUCUCGUUUGCUGUGUUAUACUGUGUCUUUGUGUCAAUAAUAAUAAUAAUAAAGAGGAUUGGAAGAGACCCCUUGUGCCAUUUAGUCCAGCCCCCUUCCGCCUUUGUGCACCAAAAGCACUAGCAAAGCACCCCCUUGAUAAUUAAUUAAUUAUUAAAUAAUAAUUAAAAUACCAUUAGAAACAAGCAAAGCUCCGGAAGGCGCGCACCGGGCAAGGGAGGAGGCGGGGGCCGGAUAAAUGGCUUCAAUGGGCCGCAUGUGGCCCCCGGGCCUUAGUUUGGGGACCCCUGCUCUAGAGCCUAGCUCACAGGCUGAACCAUCUCAUCCAAACCUACAGGGGAGUCCCAAGCUCCACCCCCAAAACAAGAACCAAUGGAACAUUCCACCCAAGAACAGCAACCAGGAAAUAAGCAGGGGAUAGGAAACCAAGCAAGAUAUCACAUGGGGAGGGUACCGGUGCAUGAAAAAGGCGCAAACCAGAAGCUGAUUCCUAUGGGCUGCUCUGAAAGGGAAUAGAUCAUCCUAGCAAAACUAUCAAUGGAGCAGAGCAACUUUGUGGAAAGAAAGCUUUUGAAGCCAUAGAUUCAGCAUCCUGGGGUUGCCCAUAUAAAGUCUGGAAUAAAAUUCAGAGCACCACUGAAAUGAAAGUCCUCAAUGACACUGGAUGAGCAUCCAACAUCUUUGAAGAGCCUCUUUCAUCCCACUAAUAAAUGGGUUUUCUGAGGGAUGUUUACUUCAACCAGCCAGAGCUUGAUGAGCACAGUUACCCAGAGAACCUUUUCAUUAGCCACCCCAAGACUGUGGAAUGACCUGCCAGAAGAGCUUCAAUAGCUAAACCAGCUGUUGGAAUUUAAAACACAACUGAAGACCUAUCUCUUCUGGCAGGUCUAUCCAGUCAAUUUUAACUUGCAAGGUGAUUUUAAUCUAUAUUUAAUCUGUGUAUAUUUGUUAUAGGGUUAUAAUCACUUAUUGUUUUAUCUCAUUGUUUUAACCAUGAUGUACUCUACCACAAGGAGACAUGGGUAAUAAAUGAUGAUGAUGAUGAUGCUUUUAUUUCUUGACUAACUGUAUAUAAUCUUAAAAUCUUUGAAAAACCUCCUAAUGAUGAGUAUUUCUUUGCAGGAACUAGCUUUAGUAAACUUUGUAAAAUUUACUGUGGUUUGCAUAUUUACUUGCCCUAUUAAAAGUAUUUCUAUAGGCUACCCUUUGGAUGACUCUUUGGAGUGAUGUCAGAGAUGUCUCCAGAAAGCCAUGGUUGCUUUUGGAACUAUGAGGACACAAUAAGAUUGUAAGGAUGAAAAAGGAUUUCAAACUGAUUAAUGCAUUUCAAAUCUAUUCAUGGCCAAUUUCUGCUUUACACUGAAAUAUCCACCUGGAAUGAAAAUGAUUUUAUGUGGCUUUUAAAAA